rnacentral:rRNA from 1 species
GCAGUCGAGCGGAUGACGGGAGCUUGCUCCUUGAUUCAGCGGCGGACGGGUGAGUAAUGCCUAGGAAUCUGCCUGGUAGUGGGGGACAACGUUUCGAAAGGAACGCUAAUACCGCAUACGUCCUACGGGAGAAAGCAGGGGACCUUCGGGCCUUGCGCUAUCAGAUGAGCCUAGGUCGGAUUAGCUAGUUGGUGAGGUAAUGGCUCACCAAGGCGACGAUCCGUAACUGGUCUGAGAGGAUGAUCAGUCACACUGGAACUGAGACACGGUCCAGACUCCUACGGGAGGCAGCAGUGGGGAAUAUUGGACAAUGGGCGAAAGCCUGAUCCAGCCAUGCCGCGUGUGUGAAGAAGGUCUUCGGAUUGUAAAGCACUUUAAGUUGGGAGGAAGGGCAGUAAGUUAAUACCUUGCUGUUUUGACGUUACCGACAGAAUAAGCACCGGCUAACUCUGUGCCAGCAGCCGCGGUAAUACAGAGGGUGCAAGCGUUAAUCGGAAUUACUGGGCGUAAAGCGCGCGUAGGUGGUUCGUUAAGUUGGAUGUGAAAGCCCCGGGCUCAACCUGGGAACUGCAUCCAAAACUGGCGAGCUAGAGUACGGUAGAGGGUGGUGGAAUUUCCUGUGUAGCGGUGAAAUG